GAACUUCUAUAUUUACAACUAUUAAACUAUCGUGCAAAAUAUAACAACACAAAAGUUGUGAGUUUGAAUACAAAUAUUGCACCGUACAUAAUACGAUAAUAUCUAAACUCAAAUUAAGUCUUCAUUACAUUUAUUAUCACACUAUUUCACAACAUAGUGAAGACUUCUAUAGUAACUAUCUUGGAACAUUACUCCAUUCCCCGACUAGUCCCAGCUACACUUUCAUUUCCUGAGAAGAACAAUGGAACAAAAAGAAAAAGGGUGAGCUCAACUAGCCCAGUAAAGAAUACUAUGACUAAGAUAAUAAAGAAUAAAUUAUCUUUAGCCCUCAACCAUGAUAAAUCAGAUAAAAUAUAAUUGACAAAAAGUUUUAGAUCAACAACUGUAGCGAAAAUAGAAAUCCAUUAGAAGAGUCAAGUAGAGCAUGAUGUCUACUAUCUUCUACGAUUUAAAAGUCCAUCAUCAAUAUUUUAUCCCUGUAACACCAAUCAAUAAUUGUUUCAAACCAACAAAUUAUCUAUGCACUAUAGGCCAAAGAUAUUUAUUUGUAUCACCAGUAGUCAUGAUCAUGCUAAACACCUGUCCAUCUAUGCACUACGGGCCAAAGAGGACUUUCACCAUAAACCUUUAUCUAUAAUAUUACAGGUCAUGAUUAUACCAAUACAUAAUUCCUGGUCAUAAUCAUACCAAUCAAUAGUCCAUCAUAAUAAGGACGAUGAAAAUGAUAUAAAGAAUAAAUCAAGUGAGAUCAAGGAUAAAUAUUAGAGAUUUAUAAUUUAAUUUAGCCAGAGUUCAAGAAUGUCUAAAUUGUCAACAUGAUCACCAAUUUUGGAGUAAAAUUCAAGAAUGAUAUUUAAGAUUCAAAUUUCAAAGAUAAUUUGGACAAAGAAAAGAAACUAAAUUUCAUCGUGAAUAGUACCCUGAAUGAAUAGUAACCCAUAUGAAUAGUACCCCAACAUGAAAAUAUUAAAAUUUAAUAAGAAAGUUCAGACCAAUAUUCCAGUGAAAUGAUAUUAGAUGAAGCGCAAACUAUUAAGGAUAAUCUACUAAUUUCAGGGAUUUUCACCAUUUAAUAAUAAGUUUAUGAAAACAAACAAUAAUUCCGUACCAUAAAUGGAGAAAAUAUGAAAGAAAAUAAUAUCCCUUGACGAGUAUAAAAGAAAUAAUAUCCCAUACGAGUAUUAAAGAAUAUACGAAACUCUAAAUAGAUUUUCACCAAUCAUGCGGUAAUCUGCAUACACAUAUCAUUUCCACAACUUAAUAAAGAAUGAAUACGAAGGGUUAUUCACCAGGCAUACAGUAAUCCGCGUAGACAUGUUAUUCUCACAGAUUAAUAAGGAAUAUAAUGACAGCCCUUAUGAGUAUGAAGAAAAUAACAUCAUUUACCUUAAUAGAAGAGUAGUUAUGACUGAAAUAGUGGAGAUUAUCUUGAGGAAAUCUUGCACUACACUCAAAGUAUACUCACAAAAACUCUCUCUUUCUAACUCUUGAUUAUAACUUGGUUUUGUAAAUUUGUGAAGAACUAAUGAACUUAGUUCUCUAUUUAUAAGAAAACAUAGUUUUGAUAAUUGCACGUUAGGGGCUAGGCUUAUUACAGUUUAGUACCUAGUUGAAUUUCACUUUAGUACCUCAUUAAUUGCACCUUAGUCCCUCAAUCAUCUUCCAAACAUCAUCAUGAUGACAUCAUCUUUGUGUUUCUUUAAGGAUGAUGUCAUGCUUACAUCAUGCUUGUAUUAUCUCUUCUCUGAUUGGUUGAUUUAAGUUCACAUGGAUUGGUCGAUUUAUUACACUUUGGUACCCCUAAAGUUUUCCAAGUUCGCAUUAUUCCCCCUUAACUUUUGUAAUUCACUUAUUUUUAAUCAAAAAAAUCUUUAAUCUUUUCAAUAAUUAUUCAACAUUAAUAUUAUAACUCAUAAUAUUAACAAUCAGAUCGUUCCUAGGAAAGAUGGGGCUUUUCGAUAAGGAAUUCUCCUUACUAGCGCGCAAUUAAAUAACCUAACAUCUUUCCUCGGCAGAACUUUCUAGACAUUACCAAUAAUGCUAAUAAUAAUAUGAGUAACUGUGUCAUGUCAAUUAUUACUUUAAUAAUAUAAAGUAUUGUACAGAUGAUACUAUGAUAAUAAUUGAACCAAUAAUAUGAGAUACUAUGCAUCAAUUACUGUGACAAUUAUUGAAUGAAAUACUGAAUGACUUAUUACGUAAGCAUCAAUAAUCAAAGAUACUAUGCAAUACUAUGUGCUACUGUGAAACAACGCGUAUUACUGUACUUUUAUCACCGGGUAUUUCAACAGUUUAACGGUAACAGUCUUACUGUUAUUUUUAUAAAAAGGUUGUUUUUGUCAUUUUCUAUAUCCGACAAUUAUUCCUUUGUGGGGUCCACCAAUGAUUUUUCCGUUGUAUGAAUAUUCAUCGAAAAAAGAAUAUUCCCCGACUAAACGAAUAUUCCCUGACACAACGAAUAUUUUAUGACAACUUGUUUACUUUGUAAAAUUUGCACAUAUCACUCAUAACUAUAGCAUUUAUUAAAUUAUCACCUUACUAUUUAGAAUAAUAUUUAUAAGAAAAAUUAAAUACUUUUAUUUCAUAAAAUCUGGGGUCUUACAACACCUCUUGCAAAAACUAUUAAAAACAAGGUUUUCACAAUUCAUGCAUAACUUGCUAUAACUUGAUUUAAUUAGUUUUCUAAGGCAUUACUUGGUUAGUUUAUCAUGUUUUAUGACUUACUAACACUAACAUACAUAAUCAUAAACCUAACAUGCAUAUGUUCAUAAGUUCUAACACAAAAAACUAUGAAUUUAUUGACAAAAAAUAAAAUAAAUGUACGUAUUCUAGGGUUUUACCUCUUAAAGUGCAAGCUUUUCGAUCAUUGAUCCCAACUAACAAGUAUUCUUAGUAUGGUAUUCUCUCAUUUAGCUUCUU
rnacentral:lncRNA from 1 species